CUUUCAAUUGAAUCAAAAGUUAACCCAAAAAACGAGAAAAAUCGAAUCGAAAAUCAAAAAGUCAAAUUAAACCAGGAAAUGAAAAUUUCAUUAAUCGAAUCAAGAUCGAAAUCAAUUAAAUUAAUCUUUAGCUUUUUUGUUUACCUAAUCAAGAGAUUACCUGGUUAAUUACUGUUAAUUCUCAUUCUUUUGUUACAGUUAACUAGUAAUUUGAUUAAUUAGUUAAAUUGUUGUCACUUUGAUUAUAUAAUUUCUUCAACUUUAUCAACCUUUCCAAUAGAUUUCAUCUUCUGAGGGCUUGGUCUUUUUACCUUCUCUCUUAGAUCAACAGCAAUUUACCUUAAUCAUCUUGAUCAUCAAGUUAAUUGUUUGUGUCAAUGUUUCAAUUUACUAAUUAGAAAGUACAUAUUAACUAUUUAAUUAGAUAAAUUGGAUAAUCCGGAAGAGAAAAAGAAAACAAGGUGAUUUUCAUGAUGAACACGCACUCAAUCAAUGUUGAUUGAUUUCCCGUGAUUCCUUUUCUCUCAACAAUAUCAACCAUCAAAAUCUCUUGCAAGGAAGAUGAAGUUAACAAUCACCAGAACCGUUUCCAUCUCAUCAUCAUGAUGAGUAUUUGAAUGGAUGAAAUUUUAUUUAUAAACAAUGAGGGAAAAUGAUUAAUUCAUUGCCAACUCUUUCAAAUUGAUAAUUCAAUUAAUCUAAAUUACAAUCAGUUGAUUUUCAUAUUCAUUUUAAUUACUAUCACUUGAUUGUUUCAAUUUCCUUGUGUAAAUCUCAUGAUUAACAUUUCUCUUCCUAUUUCAACCCUUUUUUUCAUUAUAUUGGAUUUUCAUCAAUGAUUUUUUCCUCUCUCUCUCUCUCUCUGUUUGUUAAUUGUUACACUUAAUUGUAGUGAUCAAAGUAAGAUUUUGAUCUAAUUUUCUUUCUCUCUCAUUCUCUCACCCAGGUAAUCAUCGAGAUGUUAAUUCAAAUGGAAAUGUUAAUUGAGAUGAUCAAUGAUCGCCAACCUAGAAAUAAAUCCAGUCGACAUAUUCAGAGACUCUGGUAUAUACUCCAGGUAGAUUGGGUUUCGCACAACCGACACCCCAUGAAACUAAUCCAAUGAGAACUGAUUUACCAUCCGAUUUAAAGCACAUAACAUGUUGGAAUAAAUAGUUUCCCGUCUACCCACCGAUUUCAUCCACUGUUGGCACGUAUUUGAAUCAAUUAUCUCCACAUCAACCUUUUGUAGUACUCCAAGGGAAGCGGGUACACCAUAAGUCGUCCUACCCCAUCCGGUUACCGUGGCCAUGGAACCAGUAAAAUUUUCACCUUUCGCAGGUAAACAAACAGGUAUAAUGUGCUGCUUGAAUUCAACCUCAUGGGAGAGUUCAAGGAGAGCGAUAUCAUUUUGAUAAGUGGCCGGAUUGUAGUCCUCAUUGACGACCUUUCGUUUCACCCCGAA